AUUGAACGCUGGCGGCAGGCUUAACACAUGCAAGUCGAGCGGUAGCACAGGGGAGCUUGCUCCCUGGGUGACGAGCGGCGGACGGGUGAGUAAUGUCUGGGAAACUGCCUGAUGGAGGGGGAUAACUACUGGAAACGGUAGCUAAUACCGCAUAACGUCGCAAGACCAAAGAGGGGGACCUUCGGGCCUCUUGCCAUCAGAUGUGCCCAGAUGGGAUUAGCUAGUAGGUGGGGUAAUGGCUCACCUAGGCGACGAUCCCUAGCUGGUCUGAGAGGAUGACCAGCCACACUGGAACUGAGACACGGUCCAGACUCCUACGGGAGGCAGCAGUGGCGAAUAUUGCACAAUGGGCGCAAGCCUGAUGCAGCCAUGCCGCGUGUGUGAAGAAGGCCUUCGGGUUGUAAAGCACUUUCAGCGAGGAGGAAGGUGGUGAGCUUAAUACGUUCAUCAAUUGACGUUACUCGCAGAAGAAGCACCGGCUAACUCCGUG
rnacentral:rRNA from 1 species